GGCUCUGUGGUUUAGCUGGUCAAAGCACCUGCCUAGUAUAUGGGAGAUCUGGGUUUGACUCCCAGUGGGGCCU
rnacentral:tRNA from 1 species